rnacentral:rRNA from 1 species
GACGAACGCUGGCGGCGUGCUUAACACAUGCAAGUCGAACGAAGUGGCGAACGGGUGAGUAACGCGUAAUCAACCUGCCCUUCAGAGGGGGACAACAGUUGGAAACGACUGCUAAUACCGCAUACUGAAGGAGGUGAUUGCGUUUGAUUGGCUAGUUGGCGGGGUAACGGCCCACCAAGGCGAUGAUCAGUAGCCGGGCUGGGAGGAUGAACGGCCACAUUUGGACUGAGACACGGCCCAGACUCCUACGGGAGGCAGCAGUGGGGAAUCUUCCGCAAUGGACGAAAGUCUGACGGAGCAACGCCGCGUGAGUGAUGACGGCCUUCGGGUUGUAAAGCUCUGUUAAUCGGGACGCGGUACCGGAAUAGAAAGCCACGGCUAACUACGUGCCAGCAGCCGCGGUAAUUC